AGCCGGCCUGAGAGGGCGACCGGMCACACKGGGACUGAGACACGGCCCAGACUCCUACGGGAGGCAGCAGUGGGGAAUAUUGCACAAUGGGGGAAACCRUGAUGCAGCGACGCAGCGUGCGGGAUGACGGCCUUCGGGUUGUAAACCGCUUUCAGCAGGGAAGAAGCGCAAGUGACGGUACCUGCAGAAGAAGUACCGGCUAACUACGUGCCAGCAGCCGCGGUAAUACGUAGGGUACGAGCGUUGUCCGGAAUUAUUGGGCGUAAAGAGCUCGUAGGUGGUUGGUCACGUCUGCUGUGGAAACGCAACGCUUAACGUUGCGCGUGCAGUGGGUACGGGCUGACUAGAGUGCAGUAGGGGAGUCUGGAAUUCCUGGUGUAGCGGUGAAAUGCGCAGAUAUCAGGAGGAACACCGGUGGCGAAGGCGGGACUCUGGGCUGUAACUGACACUGAGGAGCGAAAGCAUGGGGAGCGAACAGGAUUAGAUACCCUGGUAGUCCAUGCCGUAAACGUUGGGCACUAGGUGUGGGGGGCAUUCCACGUUCUCCGCGCCGUAGCUAACGCAUUAAGUGCCCCGCCUGGGGAGUACGG
rnacentral:rRNA from 1 species